rnacentral:lncRNA from 10 species
CAAAGCCCAAAGUUCACCAAACUGACGCUGAUCCCAUUUUGCAGAAGUCAGCCCGUUCUCCCCUCUCUGAGAGUGUUACUGUGCUUAAUAAGUCUCUUGCUGCUUUGCUACAUGUGUGUGUGUCACUUCCAAUUCUUUGUUAAAGACACCAAGAACCUGGGACUUCACAACACCAGCCGGUAACAAAGAUCUCUGUAAGACACAAAAGUUGGAUGACAGUCGUUUUGAUUCUUGGACUUUACUAGAGACUCCAAAGACGCAUCUGAGGAGAAAAGCUCUGGGUCCCUGGGAUGACUGUGCCACUCGACAUAGCCUCCUGGAGUGGCCAAAGAGAGUGUGGAUAAGAAAAGAAAUAUUGGAGUGAACUUUCACUCACUCCCACUUCUGUAGGUUUCUUAAAAUAUAUGGGUUUAGAAGCAAGAUACUUGGCGUUUUCAAAUGACUCAAAAGAGAUGUAGAUGAAGAGAAGUUCGGUCAUCCCACAGAUCUUCCGGAGUAACCUGGACACAUCCCUAAAUCUCUAGCUCCUGGGUCUUCGAAAGCCUGUUUGCCUCAGGGUUGGGAGGAAAGGGUUUGGAAAGUACCAAGGCAAGCGUUGGCAAAAAGAUUACCUCAUCAGUGAGGAAAUGAAAUUUCCAGAAGUUUUCGCCAGAUCUGGGACCAGAGACAAAUGCUGGAUGAAUUUCCUAUGCAAACCUCUUUUAGAACCACCGCUUCAAAGGCCGUCCAGAGACUUCAAAUUAGAUCUGGUGAAACUGCUCCCGGUAGGGGAUUGGUAGUUCAGCGGUAGAGGUUUUUGUCUCCCACGCCGGCGACUCCGGUACGACUCCCGGCCAUGCAGGACUUCUUACUCUUCCGGCAGGAAGGGCUACUACGUUUCUACCCAACAAAGUUAUUAUAUUAUACAGGCUGUACUGCAUUUAUGGACCUUGGUCGUGGCAGCUAGAAGCUAACCUGAGGGGCGUGCCACCUCUGGAGCAUUCUCUGUGCUCGAACUAAUAAUCCCGGAAUUUACGUUCCUGUGCUCGAAGCCUGUCCUUGAAAGUGGGGAGUGUUUCCGGUGGGUUGCUGCAGUUUUAAAUACUGGGAAUUAAAACCUUUGCUACUUUCAUCUAGUCUCCCGGCAAACCCCUGGGUAACCCAAAGCCCAUCAGAGGGAUUCGCGUGCUGGGCUUUCCGCUACGUUAGGCCACGUCUCACUAUGGAGCGAGGAUCAAGAAGGUCCGGGAAGGAGAGAAGCUGCGGGGUCCAGGGAGACUCUUCGGCGGUUGGUCGGAGAGGUUUCAGCGGCCCAAGGAAAAGGGAAGCGUGUGGGAAUCUAUCCGCGUAGAGAUGAGGGGCGCGGCGGAGACAGUCCCACGCAGAGGUAUGCCCAAACACCGAGUUACUUAACCUCCUCAACCACCUUGGCAUCCGCGCCUUCCGUGGGCCCAUCGGUCUUCCGGGAGAGAUUCUGUGUCCCUGGUAUUGUGUGUCAACAGGUGUUAGCCUGAUAGUUAUAUUUUUAAUGAGAGAAAACGAACUACAGAAUUUGCGAGUUUUGUUUUUUUUCUGGUUUUGCUUUAUACCUCUUGGAUUCUCCUUCCAAAGGAGACAAAAACCUCUACCUCAUUUAAUAUGCUAAUUAGCCUGCAUUUUACAACAGAUUGUAUUAGAGCCUGGAUACACAUCCAACUCGAUUCCAUGUAUGGAGCCGUAGUUGAUUUGGUCAAUAACUUGCAUUGUUCUGCAUGAGAAC